AUUGAACGCUGGCGGCAGGCCUAACACAUGCAAGUCGAACGGUAACAGGAAACAGCUUGCUGUGUCGCUGACGAGUGGCGGACGGGGGAGUAAUGUCUGGGAAACUGCCUGAUGGAGGGGGAUAACUACUGGAAACGGUAGCUAAUACCGCAUAACGUCGCAAGACCAAAGAGGGGGACCUUCGGGCCGCUUGCCAUCGGAUGUGCCCAGAUGGUAUUAGCUAGUAGGUGGUGUAACGGAUCACCUAGGCGACGAUCCCUAGCUGGUCUGAGAGGAUGACCAGCCACACUGGAACUGAGACACGGCCCCGACUCCUACGGGAGGCAGCCGCGGGGAAUAUUGGACAAUGGGCGACAGCCUGAUGCAGCCCUGCCGCGUGUAUGAAGAAGGCAUUCGGGUUGUAAAGUACUUUCCCCGGGGAUGAAGGGAGUAAAGUUAAUACCUUCACACAUUGACGUUACCCGCAGAAGAAGCACCGGCUAACUCCGUG
rnacentral:rRNA from 1 species